GAAUCAUAGCGACAUCAAUGUCUGCUACAUUCACAAUGUAUUCAUGAAACUGUUUAAUGACUGAGAGAACGUACUCGUAAAACCUUCUUCCCCAAUUCUUUUACUCGGUUACAUUCACAAUGUAUUCGUGAAGGCAUAUUCGGUUUCAAAUUUAUGUUAAAUUUGUCAAUUUGGUACUGAUGCAGAUCUUGUGUGUGUGUCUGGAAGUGAAGCUCGUGAUUCCCCCUCCGCCGGAUCAACUGGAAAUCAUUGGGGUCGAAAUUGCCAAAUUUUUUUAUUUUUUUUUUAAAUAGAAAAUGCGGCUAAAGAUAUACAUACCCCUUAAAAACUUGAAAACUACAGAUCCAACCACCCUUAUCACCCAAACUCAGAAAUCCACAUAAUUUUGGAUCUCUCUCGUCUCUUUUUCCCUUAAUACACAGAAAUCAAAUCGACUCCUUUUUCCCACAUUUCAUUAUCUUCUUCUUCGAGAGUACAAUUGUGGAUAACUCGAGCUUGUGUCUCCCGUGUUUGAGCAAGAACAUGAAUCGAAAUGGUGCGUACAAAGAACCCAAGCUAUCGUGAACAACCAAAUCCAGCAUAUGAGAUCGUAGAAGAAGAAGAAACUCAUGGAGGUGAAUCCCAAAACACUAAGUCUAAUCCUCAGGAUUCAACGGAACCCGAGGAGGAAAUCGAAGUUAUGCAACCUAUGAAUAUGUACUUCUGUCCCGAGGAGUAGACAAAACCAUUUAAGAUUUCUGUGAAGUGUUAUAUUGCAGAGACAUUGAGCCUAUUAGGGACUCAUCUCGAAGCGGAGGAGUUGGAUUGGUUCCUCUUGCACCCACAGUUCAAGCAUUUCUUCCAUAUGCCUAAAAACUCAAAUCAUAAGUUGAUGGGUAUGUGGAUGCUCUUGCUUCGCAUAUCGUGUUUAUAGAAAAAAAGAGAAUGGUGGUUCAUUGUGAAUGGGGUCCCAAUCCGAUAUUCUCUCAGAGAAAUGGCACUCAUGUCUGGAUUAAACUGUCGUACAUAUCCACCUUUCAUGGAAGGAUUGGAGAGUUUAGCGUUUGCUGGGAAACACUUUGGGGUUGGGGCAACAAUAACAUAUGCAAAAGUCAAAGCGAAGCUACUAUCAAUGAAGGAUCCUGGGACAGACCGUUUGAAGAUGGUUGUGCUAUUCUUCCUAUGUAGCAUAAUCAUAGGGAAGAAAAAAGGAGGGAAGCAAGCGCCCUCUGUAGAAUCUUUCUUUCUUAGAGUCGUGGAUGAUCUUGACGUAUGUAAGACAUUCCCUUGGGGUCGCUUAGCGUUUGAUGAGAACAUGAAAGACAUCUUUCAUUUGAUGGGCCACUUUGGUGGAGUUGUGGGCGCACCAUGGGUCUUUCCUAGUUUAUAAUUCUUUUGGAGGUUAUUAUGUUUUGAAAUUGUACAUAUUAGUAUAACUUGCUUCAUCUAAGGUUUGAUUAUCUUGUGUUUUAUGCAGUUUCUUGCGUUUGAGACAAUUUCUGUUCUGAAGAACACUUUCCGAGAAGAUGUUAGUAAUGCACAUGCACACCGUAAGUGUCCUCGGAUGUGCAGGAUGAAAUAUAAACCCAGCAAAAUGAAAGGCUUUUCUUUCACAGAAAUUUAUGACUGUCUUGGUACAACUAAGAUUAUUUAGUAUAACUUGUUUUGAAAUUGUACAAAUUAGUAUAACUUGCUUUAGAAUUCAUAACUUGUAUAAUUUGUUUCAUUUUUUACAGGAGAUUCAUAGUAUCUUGCCUCCAUCUUCUCGUGAGACACGUCUUCUAGACCGUAUCAUGGAAGUAGAUAAUGGAUGGAAUGAUGUGGAUGAUCCAAUAGCUGAUGGUUGGACCAAGCGCUUAAUUGACCAAGAGAAGUCAAUAUGGUUUGAAGAGCUUUAUAAUCAAGAUGUGGCUACCCGUGGAAUUGAGG